AUACGGAGGGUGCAAGCGUUACUCGGAAUCACUGGGCGUAAAGCGCGCGCAGGCGGCUUGGUAAGUUGGAUGUGAAAGCCUACGGCUCAACCGUAGAACUGCAUCCAAAACUGUCAAGCUAGAGUGUGGGAGAGGAAGAUGGAAUUAGUUGUGUAGGGGUAAAAUCCGUAGAGAUAACUAGGAAUACCAAAAGCGAAGGCGAUCUUCUGGAACAGUACUGACGCUGAGGCGCGAAAGCGUGGGGAGCAAACAGGAUUAGAUACCCUAGUAGUCC
rnacentral:rRNA from 1 species